rnacentral:rRNA from 1 species
UACAGAGGUCCCAAGCGUUGUUCGGAUUCAUUGGGCGUAAAGGGUGUGUAGGUGGCGCCGUAAGUCGGGUGUGAAAUCUCGGGGCUUAACUCCGAAACUGCAUUCGAUACUGCGGUGCUUGAGGACUGGAGAGGAGACUGGAAUUCCAGGUGUAGCGGUGAAAUGCGUAGAUAUCUGGAGGAACACCGGUGGCGAAGGCGGCAUCCUGGACCGAUACUGACGCUGAGGAGCGAAAGCCAGGGGAGCAAACGGG